rnacentral:lncRNA from 1 species
AUGUUGUGCCUUUUGUUUUAGAGAGGUUGAAGAUCUUAAUCAUGUGUUCUUCCAGUGUCGCUUCUCGGAACAAGUAUGGAGGAAAAUUUGUUGUUGGAUGCAGGUAGCUCACUUUAAUUUUGAAGGAAGGUUGCAUCACUUUAACUUGGUUGGUGCUUUUGUGAAAAGUAAAAAAGGGUCAAAGUUUCGGCAUUUAAUUUGGCUCGCUACAACGUGGUGUAUUUGACAUCUUCGUAACAACGUCAUAUUUAGGGGAGCUUUGCCAAAUUUGAGUUCUCUUGUGGAUCAAAUUAUCUAUAUCUCAUGGUUUUGGUUUUUAGGUAGAGGUGGGUGUAAUCUAUGUUGUUAAUCUCGGAUAGCGGCGUGUAGCGCCGAACCUCAAAAAUGCUAUUGCGGUAUAGCGGGUAGCGCUAUAGCGGUAUAGCGGUCAUGUACAAAUUAAACAUAAAUUCCAACAACAUACNNNNUUUACCAUCAAAAUAGGUUCUAAAUAAAGACUAAUAACAUUCCAAGAAGUUCUAGAAGUACUCAAAAUGACAUCCCAUUAAAAUGCAUAAGCAAGUUCUAAAAGUAAACAAAAUAAUGACAAGCCAUUAAUCUUUUGAAGCCCUUGAGACCACAUCUGCUUCUGCCUCAUCUUCACUUCUAAGGUCCACCACAUUAAGGUUUGAGAAAGGAACAAACCUUGUAAGAAGAGGAGAAGAACAGUUGAUUUAGAGAAAGGAAACAGAGGAGUCGAUUUGGUGAAGGAGAUGUUGAAGGAGAAGAGGUGAUUUGGUGAAGGAGUCCGUUGAAGGAGAAGAGGAGAAGAGCGUGAUGUGAGAAAAGAAAGAAGAAAUAACUCAAAUAGAAAAGUAAAUCACGUGUUGUGAUGUGUUGGUUGCUUUUUGAUGUGCAGAAAAGUCCAAAAUACCCCUCACUUAUGAUUUAUUUCAAAAAUAAAGAUUUUCAUCAAUUUUUUUCCCUCCAAAACGCUAAAGCGGCCAAAUAGCGCUACCAAAACGCUACGUCACCGCUAACAAAACGCUAUUUUCCUGCAAAUAGCGGCCGCUAUUUCUGCUUCUCUAAAUAGCGGAAAGCAGUCUUAUAGCAUAGCAGAGAGGUGGUAAAACGCUACGCUAUAGCGCUAUAGCGCGCUAUAGCGCCGCUAUUAACAUCCUAGGGUGUAAUACCAUGUAUGCUUAUGUCGAUUGGUGUAAUAAUCUCAUAGCUUGCCUUGAUAGCAUCUAAUGGCGAUUUUCGAAUUGUAAGGGUUGAGUACACCUUGUACUUCUUAUAAUUCAAUUUUAUUU